UGUAAAGGAGUUUGAACCUAUUUCAAACCAUCAUGAUAUCUUCUCUCUCCUAAAGCUCCUUGUCUCUCUCCCUCACAUACCAAAUUGGAAGAUUUUCUCCUCUACUGCACACACCAAAUUUGAGGAGCCCUCUCUCUCUCCCUCAUGCCCCAACUUGUGGGCGAUCUCUCUCUUUCUCGUACAAAAUAGAGCUGAUCUUGGGAGUUAAUCUCUCUUUAAGGUAAGCUUUUCUCUUCUUCCUACAAAAAUACAGCAAACCUUAGUCUAAGGUUUCUCCAAGAAAAAGCCACCUCUAUUUUUCUUCAUAGGAUAAAACCAAAGUUCGUUGUCUCUCUCUUUCCCUCACGCGUCAAAUUGGAAGAUUUUCUCCUCUCUUGCACGCACCAAAUUUGGGGGCCCUCUCUCUUUCUCUCCGUCAUGCUUCAAAUUGUGGGAGAUCUCUCUCUUUCUCACACAAAAUAGGGCUGAUCUUGGGAGUUAAUCUCACUAUAAGGUAAGCUUCUCUCUUCUUCCUAGAAAAAUACAGCAAACCCAAGUCUAGGGUAUCUCCAAGAAAAGGCCACCUCUAUUUUUCUUCAUAAGAUAAAACUAUAAAGGAGAGAGAGAGGUGGUGUGCCUUUCUUUGGUUAAGAGAGGGAGAGGUGAGAGAGAAAGAGAGAUCCCCCCAAUAUUGUGCGUGAGAAAGACAUAGAUCUCCAACAAUUUGGGGUGUGCGGGAGAGAGAGAGGUCCCCCCCCCCUCUCAACAUUGGUGCGUGAGAGAGACAAGAGAGAAUCUCCCAAUUUGGUGUGUGAGGGAGAGAGAAGGAUCUUUGGAAGAGAGAAGAUCUUAUGAUGGUUUAAAAUAGAUUCAAACUCUUUUAAAUAGAAAGAAAUUUAAAAAAUAUCUAUCUUCUAGUUUGAAUAGGAUUCUUUAUCCUAGUUUAAAUAACAUUCUUGUCUUAUCUAAUUUCCAACAAAACCUUUUAGAAUAAAUAGAAAUUUAAGGCUGAGAGAUUAAUCAGAGCCAUCUGUCGCAAAAAUCAGCUAUCAUGAUUUUGGGUAAAAAUAUUAGGAACAUUAUCCCUUUACACUUUCACUCAAUCAACUCCUAUUUAAAAUAAAUCCAAUCAAAUUUAAACUUUUAUCUUUUUAAAUUUGAAAUCAAACUUAAAUAUUUUUUAGAUAAAUAUUACCUAGAUUUCCCACAAUAUUGAGAAAUAAUAUCUCAUUAGAUUUCUCAUCUUUAGAUAUAACAAGUUUAAAUUUGAAACAAAUUCAAUUUAAAAUAAAGACGCGUGCCUAUUCCACAAAAAGUGGUAUGGGGCCACAAAAAGUGGCGUGAUCCCUUUUCCUUUUAAAACAAUAAUUUUUUUAAUAAUAUGGGGUGCCCCUUAUUUUCCUUAAAAAGUGGUGUGGCCACUAUAUUUUUUAAACAGUGAUGUGAC
rnacentral:lncRNA from 1 species